rnacentral:rRNA from 1 species
GACGAACGCUGGCGGCGUGCUUAACACAUGCAAGUCGAACGGUAAGGCCCUUCGGGGUACACGAGUGGCGAACGGGUGAGUAACACGUGGGUGAUCUGCCCUGCACUUCGGGAUAAGCCUGGGAAACUGGGUCUAAUACCGGGUAGGACCUCUGCCUGCAUGGGUGGUGGUGGAAAGCUUUUGCGGUGUGGGAUGGGCCCGCGGCCUAUCAGCUUGUUGGUGGGGUGAUGGCCUACCAAGGCGACGACGGGUAGCCGGCCUGAGAGGGUGACCGGGCACACUGGGACUGAGAUACGGCACAGACUCCUACGGGAGGCAGAAGUGGGGAAUAUUGCACAAUGGGCGCAAGCCUGAUGCAGCGACGCCGCGUGAGGGAUGACGGCCUUCGGGUUGUAAACCUCUUUCAGCACCGACGAAGCGCAAGUGACGGUAGGUGCAGAAGAAGGACCGGCCAACUACGUGCCAGCCGCCGCCGUAA